UCUACAGGGGCUUUCCAGCUAAAGGUCAAGAAUAACCCAUGGAGUCCAAAAUGGUUGUGAUCUGAAUGCUGACUUCUUGUUGCUACCUCAUUUUCAAUCACUUUGCUUUAAGAAAUGCAAACUGACACCGUCAUUCCAUUUUAUGUAUAGACCAAGUUGAGUUAUCAAUAGCAAGAGAACCAGGAACUGGAAGCAGUGACCUUUGCAGUUCCCUUCCAAAUCAGGUUAUUCAUGGAUUCUAUGACUCAAGCAGGUUGUCUCUCAGUUUUGGUAGUGAAGGUAUCAGAUCAAUUCAUGAAAGCUGCCUUCUGUACAGGGAUACCUUCCUGCCUGUAGUGUGUUGGCAAGUGACACGGUGGCUACGCAGCAGAAUUCUAGAGGUAUUUAGGCAUUUAAUGAUGACAGUAGGCUUGUGAUGGGAUUUUGGUAUUACUUAGCUGUUUCUAAACAUUCAGCUUAACACCUGAUCUCUUCUUAUAUGUGCCUAACUCUAACUGCUUAGCUCACUUUGUUUUCUCUGUGUCUACCUAAAAAAAGGGGAUAAUCAAGUUUUCUGUCUUAACAUAAUGUUUUGGUUAUAACUUCUUCUAAGGCAGUUAAGUAAUCAACUAGUGGAGUAUUAAAGGCUCUAUAAAUAUUAUGAUAAAUUGAUGGAAGAAUUGCUGUCUAUUUUGAGGCAGAAAGCUGGCCAUGUUUUAAAUUAAUUUUCUGCUUUUGGAUUCUUCCUUCCUCCAGGGUUCAUUGCACUCCACAGCUUUUUAACAUGUGUCUACAUAACAGUCCAGACAUGCAAGUGCUGUGUCAAAGGCUGGCAUUUGACCUGUGUGAUAGCACACCAGAGAAGGGAUGGGACUGCAGCAUCUCCAGAAAAACAGAUCUGUCUUCACACUCACCAGAGACAAUUGCAGUUUGAACCAGAAUUCAUUCCACGGUGUAAUCUCUGUUCAGUGGUAGAGAAGAUGUCCUGCUGGGACAAAGCAAGGGCCAUUUGUCACAGCUUCCCUUCCACUGAGAGCCAGCCUGUUCAGCCAGCAAAGAUCAGCAAGGAUCUGUGAAGUCCUGCAAGUAGGAGAUUAAGUCAUCACUAUAAAGGUUUCAGAGUGACCCCCCUCAGCUACCUCUUUGGAAAUAUAACUGACACUGCAGCUGGUUAAGGACAUUUAAAUUGCUGUUUGUUAGUGGUGUUAGUUUUGCUAUUUACCAAAGGGGAGUCUUGCAACAUUGCAUUCCACAUUUAUUUUUGCUGAGCUAGUUAAAAAAAUUAAGAAGUUUCUGAAGGGAGCAGCUGCCUUAUCUCAUUUCCUAUCUGUUCUGAUCAUACCUCUGUUCUAUUAAAACUCUAUUAAAAAUCUUGUUGGCCUGUUCUUCUAAGCCCAUGAGACAUUAUUUCCCACAAUCCUCUCAAUAUGUUUUCCACCACUAACCCACAAUGAUCAGCAGUUCCCAGAAAUAUUAUGUGUACUCUUGAUUAAGACAUCACAUCCUCCUGUCUAUACCACUGUCACUUCUUUACAAUUACACUGCUAAACUGGCCAUAUCCACAUUGAGAUUAAGAGCUUAGCAGGAAUGGACAUUUCAUCUAGAAAAUAAGAAUGGUCAGAGUUACAAUCAAUAGUCUGUCCCACACUUGUCAGUACAGCAGACUAGGAUGUUCAGGGUAUACCAGUCCUCACAGGCAAGAAAAUGAUGUGACAAGGUAGAUUCGCUUCCCAGAUCUUAAUGACUGACUACCUGCUUCUGACUGGAUUUAUUAAAUGUAACUCUUUGUGUCAGCUUGGAGCAAAGCUUGAACUCUUCUACAUUGAAGGGCAGAAAAAUAUGUAACAAUUGCUUUCCUACUCUAACUUGAAUUUUUCUUAUGAGUUAUUAAGACCAUAAAUGCAAAUUUUGCUGGUAGUUUAAAUCUUAAUUUAACUGUUCAGAGUCUUGGACUACCACAAGCUAAGUAGAAAUGUGUCCUGAGGAAAACUGAUGUUUAUCUUUUGUCUGUAUCCUGGCUUCUUGGUGAAAAUAGUUGGCACUGGAUAUUGUCAGAGACAGAAUUUGCUGAACUUAUCUAUGUUUUUAUUUCAUAAUUGAAAGGAGAGUAGUUAAUCUGAAACACUGUAAUGGUCCAAAGCAAGAGGAAGAUUAUUAUAACCUUGCUCAUCUGGAUGUGUACCUGACUCAGUUUUCUGGUUACCACAGGAUCAAUCCUAGAGGUAUCUAGUAAUACUUCUGUUGCCUUUAGGUUUUGUUAAGGAAGAAUUUUCAUUUUAAAGAGGUUAUGACGAUAUAGACCCCCAUUAGGGAAAUAGGCUUUGAUGUGGAACAUUUUCCACUUCUUUAUUUUGACUGAAAGGUCAAUUUUCAGAAUAAAAGAAAGAAAAAAUUCCA
ensembl:lncRNA